GAAGUAACAGAGGCAGCAUUCCAGCGUAGGCAGUAACACUUCAGACCCUGCUGCCCAAGAAAGCACUGUGAGGCCAACAUCUAAGUUUUCUUGUAUCACUUACAGGCUGAAAGUGUGGGCUUCAUACUUCUGCUGAUUGAACCAAACUGAGGACUGACCCCCUUCUAGGAGAGGUGCAUUAGGAACGGAAUAGCACUGGGCUCAUCUUGCAGGGGUUUGGGCUAUAAGAUGUGAGUAGGAAUGAAGCUUGGUGAGUCACUGGAGUUUACUUAGGCCACAGUUUUGCCUAAGGGCCAGAAGUGUUUC
rnacentral:lncRNA from 1 species